CUGGCGUCCAUCUUUCUCCCACACUGGGUGCUUCCUGCCUUUGAACAUCAGACUCCAAGUUCUUCAGCUUUUGGACUCUUGGACUUAGACCAGUGAUUUGUCAGGCGGUCUCAGGCCUUUGGCUACAGACUGAAGGCUGCACUAUCGGCUUUCCUACUUUUGAGGUUUUGGGACUUGGACUGGCUUCCUGGCUCCUCAGUUUGCAGGCAGACUAUUGUGGGACUUCGGCUUGUGAUCAUGUUCAAGCAAUUCUCCUGCCUCAGCCUUCCGUGUACCUGGGACUAUAAGCACGCACCACCAUGCCUGGGAAAUUUGGACACAGACUGACAUGCACAUGGGAGAAUGCCAUAUGAAGAUGAAGACAGUGAUCAGGGUGAUGAAUCUACAAGCCAAGGAAUGCCAAAGAUUGCCAGAGAACCACAAGAAGCGAGGCAAGAGGCAUGGAGCAGACUCUUUCUCACA